rnacentral:lncRNA from 1 species
AGACACAAACAGCAUCUCAAGAAAACUUAGCGCAAUAUCUGGAAUCUGAACGCUCCAAAGAAAACACUUCUCAUGAAUCUUCUUGUAAAACAGAAUUGGAAAAAUAUAAGCAACUUUACCGAGAAGAAUUAAAAUUGAGAAAGUCGCUGGAAAAAAAACGAAACAAACUUCACAGGACUAAUCGGAGGCUGGCUAAAACCUGUGUGAAACGUCUGAUGGAGAAAGAGCAGAACAGGUCUUUACCCCAAACAUUUACUACAAGUCCUGUCCUGGAGCCACCUGGUGCUGAAAAUAUUCAUAAUAGCUCUGGGUUCAGAGGAAAUACUACAACAAGAGAAACCUUGUUGUUUUCUACCUCACGUUCACGGCCUUCAUUUGACAGCAUUGUGACUGCUUUGAUGAAGAGUCAGCGGGAGAUGGAAGAAAAUAUGAAUAAGGAACUAGCAGAAGCCACUGCUGAACUUGAUUCUGUGUACCGGAGAGCCUCUCGACUGAGAUCUACCGGUGACCUUUUGAAAACAUCACACAGCCAUAUGUACAGAUUCUGAAGAAAACUUACGUUGUCUGAAAAACAAAGACUAAAACUAUCUGUUGGAUAGUUAACAUAACGUCUUUGUUGGUUCCUAUUAAACAUGUUGUAGAAAUCCUUAUUGAAGGAAAUAUUGUUGUAUCAUGUGUAUGAGAAUUUAUAUAGUAUUUUCAAUCAUUUUUCUUUGUAUCUAACUUUUAAGUAGAUUUCGUGAAUAAAACCCAGCCCUAUUGAGUUUUUCAUUCUCCAACUGAGGCCAGAUACCAGUUAUUUAAUGAGCAGACAAACCACCAAACCUUUCAUUAAUAUUUAGCUGAGUUGGGAGUUCCUGUUGUGGCACAGUGCAAAUGAAUCCAACUAGGAUCCAGGCUGUCACAGGUUCAAUCCCUGGCCUUGCUCAGUGGGUUGAGGAUCUGAAGUUGCUUGAGCUGUGGUGGUCACAGAAUCGGCUUGGACCCCAUGCUGGCGUGAUUCUGGCUUAGGCCAAGGGCUGUAGCUCUGAUUCAAACCCUACCCUGGGAACUUCCAUAUGUCAUGGGUGCAGCCCUGAAAAACAAAGCAAAAAGAAAUAGUAUAUAUUUAGCAAUGGUGAUUAGAUAGCUUUCUUGUAGUUUCCAGGUUUUAUCACUAUAUAUAGAUGCAAAGAUCUAGACAGACAUGAUUUCAAUACACUGAAACUGUGGCUAUUAUCAAUGUGUUGAUGUAUUACAAUUGUUGCAGAAUCAUACAACUCAUUCUGUAUACCUUUAAACUCUGACACAUAGAUCUUUCCUCAUGCAGCAAUAGGAUUUGCCUAAGGGAUUUUCCCCUUUCUAAUUUUUUUAAUUUACUUUUUGGAAACAGUUUUAAAAUUAGAAUUGUUCCAAGCACCUGACUCAGACAUCAUCACCAAAUUUAUAUGGAACAACAAAAGACCCAGAAUUGCCAAAGCAAUUCUGAGGAAUAAAAACCAAGCAGAUGGCGUAACUCUCCCAGACCUCAGGCAAUAUUACAAAGCCACAGUCCUCAAGACAGUGUGGUACUGGUACCAAAACAGAUAGACCAAUGGAACAAUAGAGAACCCAGAAACAAACCCCGAUACCUAUGGUUGUGGGGAGCUGAGAAAAUACAGGAGGCGAAGAAGGGAGCUUGCCUGAAUGUUGCAGUUCCAAGGGCAGGUUCCUAAUCAGAAAAAGGGGCCUGCCUGAAUGGUGCAGUUCCAAGGGCAAGCCCAUAACCAGAAAAAGGGGGCCUCUCUAAACAGUGCAAUUCUGAGGGCAGGCUGCUAAACAAAGGGAUACAAUUCUGAGGACAGGCACAAUUCUGAGGACAGGCUCCAGAAGACAAUAAGGCUCACCUGCUAACUUUGGUGGUGAACUGAAUUUUCUGGGAAACAAUUUCCAUUUUGCAUUGCUGAGUGGGGAUUUUUCUAUGGAUGACUUAGUCUUUUCUGUUAUUCACUUGUUGUUCAGUUCUUCCUCAGUCUUUCCUGAUUAUUUGUUUAUUACCCUUAUUUCCCAUUCUUAUUUUACUAUGGUGAUUUGUGAUUUAACAGAAUUACAACAAUAAUAUGAUAAAAAUUUCAUUCUAAAGACUUUCCCCUAUUCAAAUCCAAAAAUUAAAAACAUAGUGCUUAUCUACUAACUAGUUAUACAUUCAACUUUAGAGUUAGGAUUUUAAUGAAGUUUAUAGAAGUUAGACACAUAUUAUUCAUGAUCAGAAGAAACCUAGCUGUGAGUUUUGUCCUUGAUUUUAGAAACUUUUAGUGGUAGCUGGCUAAGUUCAUUUACAUUUUCUCACACUGUCUCUCUGCCAAGGACACUUUGAAGAUAGAUGCUAGUCUGAAGACAAGAUUUGUUGUGUCUGUAUCCUCUUCAGUUUGUGGGAAAUUGGCUGGCCAUGAGAUGGUUUGUGCUGGGUCUCCUCUUUCCCACAUGAAUGUUUGUGCCUAUUUGUCCUUGAAUUGUACUUACUAAAUUUAGUUAAGUUAAAGACUUUAAAACAUGACAUUUGAAACUGUACCUUGUGAUCAAAAAAAAAAAAAAAAAAA